rnacentral:rRNA from 1 species
UACUCCUACGGGAGGCAGCAGUAGGGAAUCUUCCGCAAUGGGCGAAAGCCUGACGGAGCAACGCCGCGUGAGUGAUGAAGGUCUUCGGAUCGUAAAACUCUGUUAUUAGGGAAGAACAUAUGUGUAAGUAACUGUGCACAUCUUGACGGUACCUAAUCAGAAAGCCACGGCUAACUACGUGCCAGCAGCCGCGGUAAUACGUAGGUGGCAAGCGUUAUCCGGAAUUAUUGGGCGUAAAGCGCGCGUAGGCGGUUUUUUAAGUCUGAUGUGAAAGCCCACGGCUCAACCGUGGAGGGUCAUUGGAAACUGGAAAACUUGAGUGCAGAAGAGGAAAGUGGAAUUCCAUGUGUAGCGGUGAAAUGCGCAGAGAUAUGGAGGAACACCAGUGGCGAAGGCGACUUUCUGGUCUGUAACUGACGCUGAUGUGCGAAAGCGUGGGGACCAAACAGGAUUAGAUACCCUGGUAGUCCACGCCGUAAACGAUGAGUGCUAAGUGUUAGGGGGUUUCCGCCCCUUAGUGCUGCAGCUAACGCAUUAAGCACUCCGCCUGGGGAGUACGACCGCAAGGUUGAAACUCAAAGGAAUUGACGG